rnacentral:rRNA from 1 species
CCUACGGGCGGCAGCAGUGGGGAAUAUUGCACAAUGGGGGGAACCCUGAUGCAGCGACGUCGCGUGAGUGAAGAAGUAUUUCGGUAUGUAAAGCUCUAUCAGCAGGGAAGAAAAUGACGGUACCUGACUAAGAAGCCCCGGCUAACUACGUGCCAGCAGCCGCGGGAAUUCGUAGGGGGCAAGCGUUAUCCGGAUUUACUGGGUGUAAAGGGAGCGCAGACGGCUGUGCAAGUCUGGAGUGAAAGGCGGGGGCCCAACCCCCGGACUGCUCUGGAAACUGUAAAGCUGGAGUGCAGGAGAGGUAAGCGGAAUUCGUAGUGUAGCGGUGAAAUGCGUAGAUAUUAGGAGGAACACCAGUGGCGAAGGCGGCUUACUGGACUGCAACUGACGUUGAGGCUCGAAAGCGUGGGGAGCAAACAGGAUUAGAUACCCGGGUAGUC